rnacentral:rRNA from 1 species
GACGAACGCUGGCGGCGUGCUUAACACAUGCAAGUCGAACGGAAAGGCCUGCUUUCCCUUGUGGAUUGCGGGUACUCGAGUGGCGAACGGGUGAGUAACACGUGAGUGAUCUGCCCCCAACUUGGGUAUAAGCCUGGGAAACUGGGUCUAAUUCCCGAUAGGACUGCAGGGUGGUGCCUGUGGUGGAAAACGAUUUUCUAGUGGUUGGGGAUGAGCUCGCGGCCUAUCAGCUUGUUGGUGGGGUAAUGGCCUACCAAGGCGGCGACGGGUAGCCGGCCUGAGAGGGUGGACGGCCACAUUGAGACUGGGAUACGGCCCAGACGGCUACGGGAGGCAGCAGUGGGGAAUAUUGCACAAUGGGCGGAAGCCUGAUGCAGCGACGCCGCGUGGGGGAUGACGGCCUUCGAGUUGUAAACUCCUUUCGACCGCGAGGAAGCCACCUGGUUGGAAGGGUGGUGACGGUAGUGGUAGAAGAAGCACCGGCUAACUACGUG